AGAUUGAACGCUGGCGGCAGGCCUAACACAUGCAAGUCGAACGGUAACAGGAAACAGCUUGCUGUUUCGCUGACGAGUGGCGGACGGGUGAGUAAUGUCUGGGAAACUGCCUGAUGGAGGGGGAUAACUACUGGAAACGGUAGCUAAUACCGCAUAACGUCGCAAGACCAAAGAGGGGGACCUUCGGGCCUCUUGCCAUCGGAUGUGCCCAGAUGGGAUUAGCUUGUUGGUGGGGUAACGGCUCACCAAGGCGACGAUCCCUAGCUGGUCUGAGAGGAUGACCAGCCACACUGGAACUGAGACACGGUCCAGACUCCUACGGGAGGCAGCAGUGGGGAAUAUUGCACAAUGGGCGCAAGCCUGAUGCAGCCAUGCCGCGUGUAUGAAGAACGCCUUCGGGUUGUAAAGUACUUUCAGCGGGGAGGAAGGGAGUAAAGUUAAUACCUUUGCUCAUUGACGUUACCCGCAGAAGAAGCACCGGCUAACUCCGUGCCAGCAGCCGCGGUAAUACGGAGGGUGCAAGCGUUAAUCG
rnacentral:rRNA from 1 species